rnacentral:rRNA from 1 species
CUACGGGCCGCUGCAGUGGGGAAUAUUGCACAAUGGAGGAAACUCUGAUGCAGCAACGCCGCGUGGAGGAUGACACUUUUCGGAGCGUAAACUCCUUUUAUAUAGGAAGAUAAUGACGGUACUAUAUGAAUAAGCACCGGCUAACUCCGUGCCAGCAGCCGCGGUAAUACGGAGGGUGCAAGCGUUACUCGGAAUCACUGGGCGUAAAGAGCGUGUAGGCGGGUUAAUAAGUCAGAAGUGAAAUCCUAUGGCUCAACCAUAGAACUGCUUUUGAAACUGUUAACCUAGAAUAUGGGAGAGGUAGAUGGAAUUUCUGGUGUAGGGGUAAAAUCCGUAGAGAUCAGAAGGAAUACCGAUUGCGAAGGCGAUCUACUGGAACAUUAUUGACGCCGAGACGCGAAAGCGUGGGGAGCAAACAGGAUUAGAUACCCUUGUAGUC